rnacentral:rRNA from 1 species
CAGCCGCCGCGGUAAUACGGAGGGGGCUAGCGUUGUUCGGAAUUACUGGGCGUAAAGCGCACGUAGGCGGCUUGGUAAGUUAGAGGUGAAAGCCCAGGGCUCAACCCUGGAAUUGCCUUUAAGACUGCCGAGCUAGUAGGUGAGAGAGGUGAGUGGAACUCCGAGUGUAGAGGUGAAAUUCGUAGAUAUUCGGAAGAACACCAGUGGCGAAGGCGACAUACUGGUCCAUUACUGACGCUGAGGCUCGAAAGCGCGGGGAGCAAACAGGAUUAGAUACCCCCGUAGUCCCUGUCUCUGAUAC